rnacentral:tRNA from 1 species
GGAUACGAGGUUUUUUGAUUUUAAUUUUUCCCCCUGCUAAGGGAGUAUGGGGUGUAGAGCCUCAUCGAGGGUUCGAAUCCCUCCGUUUCCGCCA